GACGAACGCUGGCGGCGUGCUUAACACAUGCAAGUCGAACGGAAAGGCCCUGCUUUUGUGGGGUGCUCGAGUGGCGAACGGGUGAGUAACACGUGAGUAACCUGCCCUUGACUUUGGGAUAACUUCAGGAAACUGGGGCUAAUACCGGAUAGGAGCUCCUGCUGCAUGGUGGGGGUUGGAAAGUUUCGGCGGUUGGGGAUGGACUCGCGGCUUAUCAGCUUGUUGGUGGGGUAGUGGCUUACCAAGGCUUUGACGGGUAGCCGGCCUGAGAGGGUGACCGGCCACAUUGGGACUGAGAUACGGCCCAGACUCCUACGGGAGGCAGCAGUGGGGAAUAUUGCACAAUGGGCGGAAGCCUGAUGCAGCAACGCCGCGUGCGGGAUGACGGCCUUCGGGUUGUAAACCGCUUUCGCCUGCGACGAAGCGUGAGUGGCGGUAAUGGGUAAAGAAGCACCGGCUAACUACGUG
rnacentral:rRNA from 1 species